UCUUUUCUACUUUGCAUUCGACAUCUUCAAUCUUUUGUUCUAUUCUUCUGGAAGGACGCCGCCAUGAGGGUUUAAAUAGAGGAGCUUUUAUGUGAUAUAUUGCAGGUUUUGUAGGUCGACAUGGGGUGUAUGACGAGUCUUUGCACCACUGCUUUGACAGUCAACUGUUGUUCCUUCUCAUCUGCAUUUUGCAUUGCUCCAAAACUUUGAAUGGGAUCCUUUGUUUGAUAUUUUUAUAAUAAUUUCGUGUUUUAGAUUUUAUGUAUUUGUCAAAAGUAGCUUCUAGUUGUUGCAAAAAAGUGUCAAUGAUUCUCAAAACUGAAUCCUCUCAUUGCUAUGACUGUCCAUCAUUAUGUAACCUUACCCUGUGCUGUGACUAAUGACUGUCUUAAAUAAUCAAGGUUGUUGCUCA